UGUCCAUGUCUUCAAAUAGAAUCGAGAAGCACGCUUUAUUACACCUUUCACAGAAACAUUUAAAUCAUGUGGGGUUUGGAUGCAACAUUCUUUCUUCAACACUCCAGGGACUCUCCUAGCCAAAAGGAUGACACAGCCUUGGUUGAAAUCUGUCUCUCCAGGAGGAUGCGGAGGGUUUGAAGGAUUCUACCCAUGGAAUUAGACAACCCUUUCAAUGUUUUUGACUAAGUUUUCUGGAAGAGGACAGAUUUGUUGAUUGUCAACACAGCUUUGAAGAAUGCUUAUUACAAGAUUUAUAGAUUCAUAGUUGCUGGGAAAGGACUACAAGUCUUUUAAGGUCAGAGCCCCUGUGGGAUUCACUGGCAUGCCAUUUCUUUUUCCUUCGUUCCUUUCUUUCAUUCUUUAUUUCUUUUCUUUUUCUUUUUCUUUUUUCUUUUUUUUUGAGAUAAGGAUUCAUUGUUGAUACCAGGCUCACCUCGAGCUCACCAUGAUCCUCCUGCCUCAGCCUCCUGAAUGCUGGGAUUACUGGCAUGGAGCACAACAUGCAGCUUAUUGGUGUGUCUUUCCAAGUGUUUUAACUGCAGUAGGUGCUUGCUAAAGGUGUACAGAAUGAGUGAGGUCUGUUCGUCCCAACAUCUCCAAAUAAACACCGAUAAAUAAAUAAGAAUGGAUAGAAACUCAUGUCAAGUUCCUAUGGUCUGUGCCUCUAUUUCCACAGUGUCGCAUAUUUGGAGGUUUGGAGACUGCUGGACUGUGCUGUUUUCUAUUGCUUUUAAUGGUGAUAAUGGAAAUACUGUAAGAGGGAUUCUGAGCAACUAUGAGUUCUGUAGCUUCAAGAAUUCUGUUCACAACACUUCAACACUUGAGCUUCAAAGAGGACUCUGAGCUUACAGAUAAAAAUGAAGCCCCAGCUGACAUCUUGGUUGCAGCCUUGCAGGAACCAAAGUAAGGAUCCACUAAACCAUGUCCACGCUCUUACUGCUUAAAAACUGUGAGAUAAUAAAUACAUUGUUUCUAAUCCCUACGUGUCAUUUCUUAUGCAGCAAUAAAACUGGCCAAGAAGGGUUUAGAUCUGUUUUUACCUUGUCUUCAGGUUUUUCUUUGCCUUGCUUAUGUGAAAUGCUGUGUUAGAAAUUAUGUCACAGGAAAAAAGAGAUUUAAGGUCCAUGCUAGU